rnacentral:rRNA from 1 species
CCCUUAGAUGUUCUGGGCCGCACGCGCGCUACACUGACGAUGUCAACGAGUCUCUCCUUCGCCGAAAGGCGCGGGUAAUCUUCUGAAACAUCGUCGUGCUGGGGAUAGAUCAUUGCAAUUCUUGAUCUUGAACGAGGAAUUCCUAGUAAGCGCGAGUCAUCAGCUCGCGUUGAUUACGUCCCUGCCCUUUGUACACACCGCCCGUCGCUACUACCGAUUGAAUGGUUUAGUGAGGACUCCUGAUUGGCGCCGCCGCGCCGGCAACGGAGCAGCGGACUGCCGAAAAGUUGUUCAAACUUGAUCAUUUAGAGGAAGUAAAAGUCGUANCA